rnacentral:rRNA from 1 species
UACGUAGGGGGCAAGCGUUGUCCGGAUUUAUUGGGCGUAAAGAGCGUGUAGGCGGCCAGGUAGGUCCGCUGUGAAAACUCGAGGCUCAACCUCGAGAUGUCGGCGGAAACCAUCUGGCUAGAGUCCGGAAGAGGAGAGUGGAAUUCCUGGUGUAGCGGUGGAAUGCGCAGAUAUCAGGAAGAACACCAACGGCGAAGGCAGCUCGCUGGGACGGUACUGACGCUGAGACGCGAAAGCGUGGGGAGCGAACAGG